UACGUAGGGUGCAAGCGUUAAUCGGAAUUACUGGGCGUAAAGCGUGCGCAGGCGGUUUGGCAAGUCAGAUGUGAAAUCCCCGGGCUUAACCUGGGAAUUGCAUUUGUGACUGCACGGCUAGAGUGUGUCAGAGGGGGGUAGAAUUCCACGUGUAGCAGUGAAAUGCGUAGAUAUGUGGAGGAAUACCGAUGGCGAAGGCAGCCCCCUGGGAUAACACUGACGCUCAUGCACGAAAGCGUGGGGAGCAAACAGG
rnacentral:rRNA from 1 species